rnacentral:rRNA from 1 species
AGCGAACGCUGGCGGCAGGCCUAACACAUGCAAGUCGAACGAACUCUUCGGAGUUAGUGGCGGACGGGUGAGUAACACGUGGGAACGUGCCUUUUGGUUCGGAAUAACUCAGGGAAACUUGUGCUAAUACCGAAUGUGCCCUUCGGGGGAAAGAUUUGUCGCCAUUAGAGCGGCCCGCGUCUGAUUAGCUAGUUGGUGAGGUAACGGCUCACCAAGGCGACGAUCAGUAGCUGGUCUGAGAGGAUGACCAGCCACACUGGGACUGAGACACGGCCCAGACUCCUACGGGAGGCAGCAGUGGGGAAUCUUGCGCAAUGGGCGAAAGCCUGACGCAGCCAUGCCGCGUGAAUGAUGAAGGUCUUAGGAUUGUAAAAUUCUUUCACCGGGGACGAUAAUGACGGUACCCGGAGAAGAAGCCCCGGCUAACUUCGUG